rnacentral:rRNA from 1 species
CCGGCGAUGUCCGAAUGGGGAAACCCAGUGUGAUUCGUCACACUAUCGUUAACUGAAUACAUAGGUUAACGAGGCGAACCGGGGGAACUGAAACAUCUAAGUACCCCGAGGAAAAGAAAUCAACCGAGAUUCCCCCAGUAGCGGCGAGCGAACGGGGAGCAGCCCAGAGUCUGAAUCAGCUUGUGUGUUAGUGGAACGGUCUGGAAAGUCCGACGGUACAGGGUGAUAGUCCCGUACACCAAAAUGCACAGGUUGUGAACUCGAAGAGUAGGGCGGGACACGUGGUAUCCUGUCUGAAUAUGGGGGGACCAUCCUCCAAGGCUAAAUACUCCUGACUGACCGAUAGUGAACCAGUACCGUGAGGGAAAGGCGAAAAGAACCCCGGCGAGGGGAGUGAAAAAGAACCUGAAACCGUGUACGUACAAGCAGUGGGAGCACCUUCGGGUGUGACUGCGUACCUUUUGUAUAAUGGGUCAGCGACUUAUAUUCUGUAGCAAGGUUANUGUGAACUCGAAGAGUAGGGCGGGACACGUGGUAUCCUGUCUGAAUAUGGGGGGACCAUCCUCCAAGGCUAAAUACUCCUGACUGACCGAUAGUGAACCAGUACCGUGAGGGAAAGGCGAAAAGAACCCCGGCGAGGGGAGUGAAAAAGAACCUGAAACCGUGUACGUACAAGCAGUGGGAGCACCUUCGGGUGUGACUGCGUACCUUUUGUAUAAUGGGUCAGCGACUUAUAUUCUGUAGCAAGGUUAACCGUAUAGGGGAGCCGCAGGGAAACCGAGUCUUAACUGGGCGUUAAGUUGCAGGGUAUAGACCCGAAACCCGGUGAUCUAGCCAUGGGCAGGUUGAAGGUUGGGUAACACUAACUGGAGGACCGAACCGACUAAUGUUGAAAAAUUAGCGGAUGACUUGUGGCUGGGGGUGAAAGGCCAAUCAAACCGGGAGAUAGCUGGUUCUCCCCGAAAGCUAUUUAGGUAGCGCCUCGUGAACUCAUCUUCGGGGGUAGAGCACUGUUUCGGCUAGGGGGUCAUCCCGACUUACCAACCCGAUGCAAACUACGAAUACCGAAGAAUGUUAUCACGGGAGACACACGGCGGGUGCUAACGUCCGUCGUGAAGAGGGAAACAACCCAGACCGCCAGCUAAGGUCCCAAAGUCAUGGUUAAGUGGGAAACGAUGUGGGAAGGCACAGACAGCCAGGAUGUUGGCUUAGAAGCAGCCAUCAUUUAAAGAAAGCGUAAUAGCUCACUGGUCGAGUCGGCCUGCGCGGAAGAUGUAACGGGGCUAAACCAUGCACCGAAGCUGCGGCAGCGACACUAUGUGUUGUUGGGUAGGGGAGCGUUCUGUAAGCCUGCGAAGGUGUGCUGUGAGGCAUGCUGGAGGUAUCAGAAGUGCGAAUGCUGACAUAAGUAACGAUAAAGCGGGUGAAAAGCCCGCUCGCCGGAAGACCAAGGGUUCCUGUCCAACGUUAAUCGGGGCAGGGUGAGUCGACCCCUAAGGCGAGGCCGAAAGGCGUAGUCGAUGGGAAACAGGUUAAUAUUCCUGUACUUGGUGUUACUGCGAAGGGGGGACGGAGAAGGCUAUGUUAGCCGGGCGACGGUUGUCCCGGUUUAAGCAUGUAGGCUGCGGGUAAGUUCCGACCUGCACGAAUGGCGUAAUGAUGGCCAGGCUGUCUCCACCCGAGACUCAGUGAAAUUGAACUCGCUGUGAAGAUGCAGUGUACCCGCGGCAAGACGGAAAGACCCCGUGAACCUUUACUAUAGCUUGACACUGAACAUUGAGCCUUGAUGUGUAGGAUAGGUGGGAGGCUUUGAAGCGUGGACGCCAGUCUGCGUGGAGCCAACCUUGAAAUACCACCCUUUAAUGUUUGAUGUUCUAACGUUGGCCCCUUACCGGGGUUGCGGACAGUGUCUGGUGGGUAGUUUGACUGGGGCGGUCUCCUCCCAAAGCGUAACGGAGGAGCACGAAGGUUAGCUAAUCCUGGUCGGACAUCAGGAGGUUAGUGCAAUGGCAUAAGCUAGCUUGACUGCGAGCGUGACGGCGCGAGCAGGUGCGAAAGCAGGUCAUAGUGAUCCGGUGGUUCUGAAUGGAAGGGCCAUCGCUCAACGGAUAAAAGGUACUCCGGGGAUAACAGGCUGAUACCGCCCAAGAGUUCAUAUCGACGGCGGUGUUUGGCACCUCGAUGUCGGCUCAUCACAUCCUGGGGCUGAAGUAGGUCCCAAGGGUAUGGCUGUUCGCCAUUUAAAGUGGUACGCGAGCUGGGUUUAGAACGUCGUGAGACAGUUCGGUCCCUAUCUGCCGUGGGCGCUGGAGAAUUGAGGGGGGCUGCUCCUAGUACGAGAGGACCGGAGUGGACGCAUCACUGGUGUUCGGGUUGUCAUGCCAAUGGCACUGCCCGGUAGCUAAAUGCGGAAGAGAUAAGUGCUGAAAGCAUCUAAGCACGAAACUUGCCCCGAGAUGAGUUCUCCCUGAGACUUUAAGUCUCCUGAAGGAACGUUGG